CCUACGGGGGGCAGCAGUGAGGAAUAUUGGUCAAUGGGCGGGAGCCUGAACCAGCCAAGCCGCGUGAGGGAAGAAGGUACAGCGUAUCGUAAACCUCUUUUGUCAGGGAACAAAGGCGGGGACUAGUCCCAGGAUGAGGGUACCUGAAGAAAAAGCAUCGGCUAACUCCGUGCCAGCAGCCGCGGUAAUACGGAGGAUGCGAGCGUUAUCCGGAUUGAUUGGGGUAAAGGGGUGCGCAGGCGGCCUGUUAAGUCAGCGGUAAAAGCCCGGGGCUCAACCCCGGCGAGCCGUGGAAACUGGCGGGCUGGAGUUGGAGAGAAGUACGCGGAAUGCGCGGUGUAGCGGUGAAAUGCUUAGAUAUCGCGCAGAACCCCGAUUGCGAAGGCAGCGUACCGGCUCCACACUGACGCUGAGGCACGAAAGCGUGGGUAUCGAACAGGAUUAGAUACCCCAGUAGUC
rnacentral:rRNA from 1 species